rnacentral:rRNA from 1 species
UACAGAGGGGGCAAGCGUUAUUCGGAAUUAUUGGGCGUAAAGGGCGCGUAGGCGGCUUGGCAAGUGGAAGGUGAAAUCCCUCGGCUUAACCGAGGAACUGCCCUCCAAACUGCUUCGCUUGAGACCGGGAGAGGUGAGUGGAAUUCCCAGUGUAGCGGUGAAAUGCGUAGAUAUUGGGAGGAACACCAGUGGCGAAGGCGGCUCACUGGACCGGUACUGACGCUGAUGCGCGAAGGCGUGGGGAGCAAACGGG